CACGUAGGGUGCGAGCGUUGUCCGGAAUUAUUGGGCGUAAAGAGCUCGUAGGCGGUGUGUCGCGUCGGCCGUGAAAACCUGCAGCUUAACUGUGGGCUUGCGGUCGAUACGGGCAUCACUGGAGUUCGGCAGGGGAGACUGGAAUUCCUGGGUGUAGCGGUGAAAUGCGCAGAUAUCAGGAGGAACACCGGUGGCGAAGGCGGUCUGCUGGGCAGUAGCUG
rnacentral:rRNA from 1 species